AGCCAAUCCAAGCGCUCUGAAAAUCCUGUCUCUCUGUACCGAGGCAGUGAUGGAGCAGUGCUGUCCUCCGCUAGUCGGAGACUGUGGAAAAGUCCAUAGCUUCGAGAUAAGUGUUAAAAUUUCAUGCCAGUUAUUCCACGGGACUGGAGGUUCGCCAGGCAUGUGUUGGAAUGGUGCUGGUGGUGGUGAGCUGAAUUCAGCCAUCUUUGUCGCCAAUGUUAUAUCUACCUUAGCUGUCAAAGAACGCACAUCUGCACAGUUUCACAUUGCAGAUCACUUUCUCGUUUAAUGACAUGUGCCACUCAUCCUGACAACCCAUUAAUCCGUAAAGCAGCACACUGUCGUAAACCAUAACAACCUACAGUACGACAAACAGCACGUCGUACCAUACAUAACACUGGACAUGCAGAUAAAUUAAAGUCAGAUAAAUUAAAAGGAUGUACAGUACAAUGCCAUCUCUUAUAUGCUCCCAUUCAAGUCUGAGUGUGCCUUCAGUGUCCAGGGGCAGUCAAAGAAUCUAUUUCUACAACUUUUUUCGAAAUGAUUUUUCCCCAACCAAAAGCAAUGUUUGAGUGACAAUCAUACAAUAUGCAGGUAUUACACCCCUGUAGUUGGAAAUCAAUCAAUGGAGAUGUUAUGCCACAGGCCUGUCAGGUGGGCCUUAAUCCUGCCAGUGAACACGAGGCCAAGACGUUCUGAGUCACUGUCAACCAGAGGGCUAAUAGUCAAGAUAGAAGAGGACUACUGCAAUUACCUCCACAAAAUAACCCACAACCAUGACCCUGACCUGAAGAACUUGUUAUCCAGCGCUGGGAUCAGUGAAGACCACCUGACCAACGCAGAGACCUCCAGACUAAUCUAUGUUUCGAUCAGUCUUGGGGGCUAGAUGCCGUCAAAGAGGAGAUGAGGAGACAAGACUACAGCUCAGCGUUCAACACCAUAGUCCCCUCCAAGCUCAUCCGCCAUGCUGACCCUCAACACAAUCCCCUCAGAGGUAUGUACUUAGUCACCUCCUGUACUCCCUGUUCACCCACGACUGUGUGGCCAGGCACGACUUCAACACCAUCAUCAAGUUUGCUUACGACAUGACGGUGGUAGGACUGAUCGCCGACGGCGAUGAACAGCCUACAGGGAGGAGGUCAGAGACGUAGCAGUGUGGUGCCAGGACAACAACCUCUUCCUCAACAUCAGUAAGACCAAGGAGCUGAUCGUGGACUAUAAGAGAAAGAGGUGAGAGCACGGCCCCAUCCACAUCGAAAAGGCUAUUGUGAAGUCGGUCGCGAGCUUCAAGUCCCUUGGUGUCCACACAGUGGAGGCUGCUGGGUGGAGGACGGCUUAUAAUAAUAGCUAGAACAGAGAAAAUUAAAUGGUAUCAAAC
rnacentral:lncRNA from 1 species